UAACCAUAAUUUAAUUAAUAAUAUGGUAUAAUAAAAUCGGAGGCCACGACUGUUUACUAAAAACACAAUUCAGAGCAAUAAUUAAGAUAAUAGUAUUCUGGAUGAAAUUUGCCCAAUGCCAUUAACAUAAGAGAGGUAAUUUAAAAGUUACUAAUUGAAAGUCUGGUUAAUAGCGGUCUUAACUAUGAGGAUCCUAAGGUAGCAAAAUAAGUUGGCCAUUAAAUGUGGUCUUGUAUCAAUAAUGUAACGAUGGUCUCACUGUCUCUACAACUUGCUCAGUGAAAUUGAAUUGCGAGUGCAGAUGCUCGCUGUCUUCAGAGGGACGGGAAGACCCUAUGCACCUUUCUACUGA
rnacentral:rRNA from 2 species